rnacentral:rRNA from 1 species
CCUACGGGAGGCAGCAGUGAGGAAUAUUGGUCAAUGGGCGGGAGCCUGAACCAGCCAAGUCGCGUGAGGGAAGACGGUCCUAUGGAUUGUAAACCUCUUUAGGCGGGGAGCAAGGCCGGGCACGCGUGCCCGGAGGGAGAGGACCCGCAGAAGAAGCAGCGGCGAACUCCGAGCCAGCAGCCGCGGUAAUACGGAGGAUGGGAGCGUGAGCCGGAUUUAUUGGGUUUAAAGGGUGCGUAGGCGGUUUUUUUCGUCCGUUGUGAACGUUUGCGGCUCAACCGGAAAAUGGCAGUUGAAACUGGCAGUCUUGAGUACAGUAGAGGUGGGCGGAAUUCGUGGUGUAGCGGUGAACUUCUUAGAUAUCACGAAGAACUCCGAUUGCGAAGGCAGUUCACUGGACUGCAACUGCCACUGAGGCUCGAAAGUGUGGGUAUCAAACAGGAUUAGAUACCCUUGUAGUC